CCUCCUACGGGGCGCAGCAGUGAGGAAUAUUGGUCAAUGGUCGGGAGACUGAACCAGCCAAGCCGCGUGAGGGAUGAAGGUACAGAGUAUCGUAAACCUCUUUUGUCAGGGAACAAAGGCGGGGACGUGUCCCCGGAUGAGUGUACCUGAAGAAAAAGCAUCGGCUAACUCCGUGCCAGCAGCCGCGGUAAUACGGAGGAUGCGAGCGUUAUCCGGAUUUAUUGGGUUUAAAGGGUGCGUAGGCGGUCCGUUAAGUCAGCGGGAAAAUUGCGGGGCUCAACCCUGUCUAGCCGUUGAAACUGGCG
rnacentral:rRNA from 1 species